rnacentral:rRNA from 1 species
UACGUAGGGCGCAAGCGUUAUCCGGAAUUAUUGGGCGUAAAGAGCUCGUAGGCGGUUUGUCGCGUCUGCCGUGAAAGUCCGGGGCUCAACUCCGGAUCUGCGGUGGGUACGGGCAGACUAGAGUGAUGUAGGGGAGACUGGAAUUCCUGGUGUAGCGGUGAAAUGCGCAGAUAUCAGGAGGAACACCGAUGGCGAAGGCAGGGUCUCUGGGCAUUAACUGACGCUGAGGAGCGAAAGCGUGGGGAGCAAACAGG